rnacentral:rRNA from 1 species
CGAAAGCCUGACGGAGCAAGACCGCGUGGGGGAGGAAUGCCUUAGGGUUGUAAACCCCUUUUAUCUGGGAAGAACAAAAUGACGGUACCAGAUGAAUAAGCCUCGGCUAACUCCGUGCCAGCAGCCGCGGUAAUACGGAGGAGGCAAGCGUUAUCCGGAUUUAUUGGGCGUAAAGCGUUCGCAGGUGGUUCAUCAAGUCUGCUGUUAAAGCGUGCAGCUCAACUGCAUAUAGGCAGUGGAAACUGUUGAACUAGAGUAUGGUAGGGGUAGGGGGAAUUCCCAGUGUAGCGGUGAAAUGCGUAGAUUUCGGGAAGAACAUCGGUGGCGAAAGCGCUCUGCUGGGCCGCAACUGACACUCAGGGACGAAAGCUAGGGGAGCG